rnacentral:rRNA from 1 species
UCUACGGGAGGCAGCAGUGGGGAAUAUUGGACAAUGGGCGAAAGCCUGAUCCAGCCAUGCCGCGUGUGUGAAGAAGGUCUUCGGAUUGUAAAGCACUUUAAGUUGGGAGGAAGGGUUGUAGAUUAAUACUCUGCAAUUUUGACGUUACCGACAGAAUAAGCACCGGCUAACUCUGUGCCAGCAGCCGCGGUAAUA